rnacentral:rRNA from 1 species
GAUGAACGCUAGCGGGAGGCUUAACACAUGCAAGUCGAGGGGCAGCAUAGGGUAGCAAUACUCUGAUGGCGACCGGCAAACGGGUGAGUAACGCGUAUGCAACCUACCCUGUACAGGGGGAUAACCCGGAGAAAUUCGGACUAAUAUCCCGUAAUAAUAUCCGGAGGCAUCUUUGGAUAUUUAAAGUUCCGACGGUACGGGAUGGGCAUGCGUAACAUUAGCUGGUUGGUAAGGUAACGGCUUACCAAGGCUAUGAUGUUUAGGGGUCCUGAGAGGGUGGUCCCCCACACUGGUACUGAGACACGGACCAGACUCCUACGGGAGGCAGCAGUGAGGAAUAUUGGUCAAUGGGCGCAAGCCUGAACCAGCCAUCCCGCGUGCAGGAAGACGGCCCUAUGGGUUGUAAACUGCUUUUCCAGGGAGAGAAACUUACGCACGUGUUGCGUGACUGACGGUACCCUGGGAAUAAGCAUCGGCUAACUCCGUGCCAGCAGCCGCGGUAAAACGGAGUA